CCAAUUAUUUUUCUGUUGACUUCUAUUUGAACCAGUACAUCAUUAAAGAAAUCUGGAUUUGAUUCAAAGACUUCAAGCAAGAGACUCUACAACAUCUCUAGACAAGGUUCCCUUUGUUUAAUUGCCCUUACUACUAAAAAUUUACACCCUUAUAUACAAGUCUGGAUUUAUCUGGCUGCUUCUCCCAGCUAAGGAAUUUUAUUAAGGCUUGUUUUUCUAGAUUAAAAGAACCAUCUACUAACAGAAAACUCUGCGUAUGCACAUACCACAGCAUGAAUGGAAUGGGAUCUUAGCAUGUCCCAGCAAACCAGGAGAUGGAUCCUCAGAUGGUGUAAAAUGAGAUUGUUUCACUGAGAGCACUGAGGUCAAUGAUGCUUUACACUAGCUCUGGCUCAAGUUUUUCAUAAGGCCUGCCUCGGGAAGGAGAUGCUGGCAUAUUUGUACCUCUCAGGCACACUUUUCAAAAGAGAGGGACUUAAGAAGUCACACAGGGAAGAGGGUAACCACCUUUGAAGUAGAACAUGGCAACUGUGACACAGAAUAAGUCCUUCUGAAUGUAUCAAAUGUCCAAGAUGUGUGGCAUCUCAGGAGACAGGCUGCAUGAAGUCAAUACAAACUUCUGGAUGGCAGCCUAGGAAUAGGCCAUCCAUAAGACACUUGCAAGGACAGUAGCAAAAACUUUUACCUCUUACUGUAAACAGUUCUGUGUGUAGGUUCCUGUAUAAUAUAAAGAGCUUUUGACACACCACAAGGCCCAUGAAGAUACCACAACAUCUAUGUAAGAACACAAACUAAGAUUAAUACAGAUCAGAAGGAGAAAGAUGAACCAUUUAUGCUGCCUAAAAUUAGACCUCCUUCUGCAAACAUAACACAGAGACAUCUUUCCAGUGAAGUCUUUGUCUUUCCUCAAAGGAAAAGCCCAUAUCCCUUCAAAAUAGGCUUUCCUGGCAGAAUAUCCUGUUUUUUGAGAAUUGCUGAGA